rnacentral:rRNA from 1 species
AGGACGAACGCUGGCGGCGUGCUUAACACAUGCAAGUCGAGCGGAAAGGCCCUUCGGGGUACUCGAGCGGCGAACGGGUGAGUAACACGUGAGCAACCUGCCCUCAGCUCUGGGAUAGCUCCGGGAAACCGGAAUUAAUACCGGAUAUGACCCUGACUGACAUCGGUCAGGGUGGAAAGGAUUCCGGCUGAGGAUGGACUCGCGGCCUAUCAGCUAGUUGGUGGAGUAACGGCCCACAAGGCGACGACGGGUAGCCGGCCUGAGAGGGCGACCGGCCACACUGGGACUGAGACACGGCCCAGACUCCUGCGGGAGGCAGCAGUGGGGAAUAUUGCGCAAUGGGCGAAAGCCUGACGCAGCGACGCCGCGUGGGGGAUGAAUGCCUUCGGGUUGUAAACCCCUUUCAGCAGGGACGAAGCGAGAGUGACGGUACCUGCAGAGAAGCGCCGGCUAACUACGUGCCAGCAGCCGCGGUAA